rnacentral:rRNA from 1 species
AGUGAACGCUGGCGGUAGGCCUAACACAUGCAAGUCGAACGGCAGCACAGUAAGAUCUUGCUCUUACGGGUGGCGAGUGGCGGACGGGUGAGGAAUACAUCGGAAUCUACUUUUUCGUGGGGGAUAACGUAGGGAAACUUACGCUAAUACCGCAUACGACCUACGGGUGAAAGCAGUGGAUCUUCGGACCUUGCGCGAUUGAAUUAGCCGAUGUCGGAUUAGCUAGUUGGCGGGGUAAAGGCCCACCAAGGCGACGAUCCGUAGCUGGUCUGAGAGGAUGAUCAGCCACACUGGAACUGAGACACGGUCCAGACUCCUACGGGAGGCAGCAGUGGGGAAUAUUGGACAAUGGGCGCAAGCCUGAUCCAGCAAUACCGCGUGGGUGAAGAAGGCCUUCGGGUUGUAAAGCCCUUUUGUUGGGAAAGAAAAGCAGCAGGUUAAUACCCCGAUGUUCUGACGGUACCCAAAGAAUAAGCACCGGCUAACUUCGUG